CCUACGGGAGGCUGCAGUGGGGAAUCUUGCACAAUGGGGGAAACCCUGAUGCAGCGACGCCGCGUGAGCGAUGAAGCCCUUCGGGGUGUAAAGCUCUUUCGACGGGAACGAUAAUGACGGUACCCGGAGAAGAAGCUGCGGCUAACUACGUGCCAGCAGCCGCGGUAAUACGUAGGCAGCAAACGUUGUUCGGAAUUACUGGGCGUAAAGAGUGUGUAGGCGGUUGGGUAAGUUUGGUGUGAAAUCUCCCGGCUUAACUGGGAGGGUGCGCCGAAAACUGCCUGGCUUGAGUACUGGAGAGGAUAGCGGAAUUCCUGGUGUAGCGGUGAAAUGCGUAGAUAUCAGGAGGAACACCUGCGGUGUAGACGGCUGUCUGGACAGUAACUGACGCUGAGACACGAAAGCGUGGGGAGCAAACAGGAUUAGAUACCCGAGUAGUC
rnacentral:rRNA from 1 species